UAUUACGGCUUUUGUAUUUAUUUUACUUGCUUUUCUUUGUUCAUUGCAAUUAAUUUUGAUUUACAAGCAGGUAUGAAAAUAUUUUGGAUAAUCUUGUCCAUUCUAUUGUUAUUUUUAGUACUUUUAAUUGCUUAUGGACUAUCCAGAAUUACUGCAGCGGUGGGUUAAUGUCUAUUAUUAUAUUUAAUAUUGUUAAUAAAUUUCGUUGAAUAAUAAAACGCUUUCUUUUUGUUUUAGGUUUAUGGUAAUUACUGUGAUUGCAAUGUUCUUUCUAAUGUUGAGUUUCCUGUUACCUACAAGUUGAAGAUCUUGAACUUUAUGAAAAGAUUUGCGAGAUUUCCAAUUGGUCUGAAUUUCGGAGGAUUCCUUUUCAUCAAAAAAACAUUUGUUAUAAGGGUAAUCAGUGCACUUUACUCACUGCUAAAUUCUCUUAUUGAAUUAGAAAGAUCGACAAAUAUGAAGAAAUGCAGACACGUGUUGAAUAAAAGUGGAAAUUUCUCUAUGAUUAACAGAGAAACAUACUCUAAAUAAAUAUUCUGAUAUUUCUAAGUAAUAUCAAUAAUGAUGUUGUCUGUCGCCUUUUUCUUAAUUUUAUAGAAUAUUAAACAGAAAAAAAUAAAAAGUAUGUCAACGCUAACGUUGUUACUCGGUUUGCUGCUGUUCUAGGCAAUUGAUAUUCGGAGUUAAAUAUCUGUUUCUAUUGGUUUACGAAUUAAGAAGAAGGCGACGGAAUACAUUUAUAAUUUGAUUCUUAAUAAAACAAUUAAUAAUGUUUUUCUGUUUUAUGUAAGAAUUGCGAAUGUAUCACUGAUAAUCCUGUAUUGUAUCAAUAAUUGAACAAUUUUUAUUUAAAAAUAUUU